rnacentral:rRNA from 1 species
CAGUAGCCGCGGUAAUACGUAGGUGGCAAGCGUUGUCCGGAAUUAUUGGGCGUAAAGGGCUCGCAGGCGGUUUCUUAAGUCCGAUGUGAAAGCCCACGGCUCAACCGUGGAGGGUCAUUGGAAACUGGAAAACUUGAGUGCAGAAGAGGAAAGUGGAAUUCCAUGUGUAGCGGUGAAAUGCGCAGAGAUAUGGAGGAACACCAGUGGCGAAGGCGACUUUCUGGUCUGUAACUGACGCUGAUGUGCGAAAGCGUGGGGAUCAAACAGGAUUAGAUACCCGCGUAGUCCCUGUCUCUUAUAC